rnacentral:rRNA from 1 species
CGAACGGGUGCGUAACACGUGAACAACCUGCCCUCGUGUGGGGGGAUAGCCAUGCUAACGCGUGGGUAAUACCGCAUACGUUCUUCAGGGGGAGUCCCCUGGGGAAGAAAGCUCUGGCGCACGGGGAGGGGUUCGCGGCCUAUCAGCUAGUUGGUGCGGUAACGGCGCACCAAGGCGACGACGGGUAGCUGGUCUGAGAGGAUGGCCAGCCACAUUGGGACUGAGAUACGGCCCAG